rnacentral:rRNA from 1 species
UACAGUAAUCACGUCGUAUAACCUGUCCCUUAGGCACCAGAAUAAUCCCCGGGGAAACUGGGGAUAAUACCGGAUAAGUCCAUAGACGCUGGAAUGCCCUAUGGUUCAAAGACUCCGGCGCCUAAGGAUGGAUCUGCGGUCUAUCAGGUUGUAGUGGGUGUAAUGUACCUACUAGCCGACGACGGAUUCGGGUUGUGGGAGCAAGAGCCCGGAGAUGGAUUCUGAGACACGAAUCCAGGCCCUACGGGGUGCAGCAGGCGCGAACACUUUACAAUGCGGGAAACCGAGGAUAAGGGAACCCCGAGUGCCAGCAUCAAAUGUUGGCUGUCCAGAUGAUUAAAAAUCAUUUGUUAGCAAGGACCGGGCAAGACCGGUGCCAGCCGCCGCGGUAACACCGGCGGCCCCAGUGGUAGCCGUUUUUAUUGGGUCUAAAGGGUCCGUAGCCGUCUUGAUAAGUCCUUUGGGAAAUCCGGCAGCUUAACUGUCAGGCUUAUAAGAGAUACUGUCAGGCUUGGGACCGGAAGAACUAAGAGGUACUCCAGGGGUGGGAGUGAAAUCUCGUAAUCCCUAAUGGACCAUCCGUGGCGAAGGUUCCUUCCCAAAACUGGUCCGACGGUCAGGGACGAAAGUUAGGGGAGCAAACUGGAUUAGAUACCCGGGUAGUCCUAGCUGUCACCGAUACUUCCUAGGUGUCAUACACGGUUCGACCGUGUUAGUUUCAACAGGGAAUCCGUUAAUCGACCCACCUGGUAAGUACGGUCGCAAGACCGCAACUACA